rnacentral:lncRNA from 1 species
AUUUUAUUUGCAGCAAUUAACAAGAAUAUAAGAAUUUACAAGAAAUUAUACUAAAAUCUACUUAAAUCUAAACUACUCCCAUACAAUACAAUGAUUCGAGAGAGAGUAUGUGAGAGUCCCAUGAAUAUAUCUGAGAGAAUGAAACCGGAGUUACCAGUGCUACAUCAAUUAUUUGAUACUAUUCCAAUAAAUGUCCACAAAUGUUCAUUGUUCAAAGGUUCACAAUUGUCUGAUCUCACAGCUCCACACUUUGAUGUCAUUGGUGUUGUCCAUGCUGCCUCUGCUGUCGUCCCGACAAGACGAUUUGCCUUUCCCGUCAUUGAGACUUAUAUUUUGUAUUGUUGUUUGUUUACCUUCAAAAAUAGACUCUUGACUUCUCCUGACUAACUUCCGUCUUUUCUACUGACCUUUUUCUGCUCUGUCUUAUUUGUUUAUAUUACUCCAAUAUUUUUGAUGUUUACUUCUGUUCUCAUGGUUUGGCUCUCUCUUUGUUUUCAUAUGAUGAUAAUUCCCAGUUCAAUUUAUUUAUAUUUUAAAUAAAGAAUUUAAUAUAUUAACAUCC